rnacentral:rRNA from 1 species
UUCCGGUUGAUCCCGCCGGACCUGACUGCUAUCGGAUUGAUACUAAGCCAUGUGAGUCAUUGUAGCAAUACAAGGCAGACGGCUCAGUAACACGUAGUCAAUCUACCCUAUGGACGGGGAUAACCUCGGGAAACUGAGGAUAACACCCGAUAGAUCAUAAUGCCUGGAACGGUUUAUGGUCCAAACGAUUCGUCGCCGUAGGAUGGGACUGCGGCCUAUCAGCUUGUUGGUGAGGUAAUGGCCCACCAAGGCUAUUACAGGUACGGGCUCUGAGAGGAGAAGCCCGGAGAUGGGUACUGAGACACGGACCCAGGCCCUAUGGGGCGCAGCAGGCGAGAAACCUUUGCAAUGUGCGCAAGCACGACAAGGUUAAUCCGAGUGUUUCCUGCUAAAGGAAUCUUUUGUUAGUCGUAAAACCACUAUCGAAUAAGGGGUGGGCAAGUUCUGGUGUCAGCCGCCGCGGUAAAACCAGCACCUCAAGUGGUCAGGAGGAUUAUUGGGCCUAAAGCAUCCGUAGCCUGUUCUAUAAGUUUCCGGUUAAAUCCAUUAGCUCAACUAAUGGGCUGCCGAAAAUACUGUAGAACUAGGGAGUGGGAGAGGUAGACGGUAUUCGGUAGGAAGGGGUAAAAUCCUUUGAUCUAUUGAGGACCACCUGUGGCGAAGGCGGUCUACCAGAACACGUUCGACGGUGAGGGAUGAAAGCUGGGGGAGCAAACCGGAUUAGAUACCCGGGUAGUCCCAGCCGUAAACGAUGCAGACUCGGUGAUGCGCUGGCUUGUGGCCAGUGCAGUGCCGCAGGGAAGCCGUUAAGUUUGCCGCCUGGGAAGUACGUACGCAAGUAUGAAACUUAAAGGAAUUGGCGGGGGAGCACCACAAGGGGUGAAGCCUGCGGUUCAAUUGGAGUCAACGCCGGA